UACGUAGGGUGCGAGCGUUGUCCGGAAUUAUUGGGCGUAAAGAGCUUGUAGGCGUUUUGUCGCGUCUGCCGUGAAAAUCCGGGGCUCAACCCCGGACUUGCGGUGGGUACGGGCAGACUAGAGUGUGGUAGGGGAGACUGGAAUUCCUGGUGUAGCGGUGAAAUGCGCAGAUAUCAGGAGGAACACCGAUGGCGAAGGCAGGUCUCUGGGCCACUACUGACGCUGAGAAGCGAAAGCGUGGGGAGCGAACAGG
rnacentral:rRNA from 1 species